CCCUUAGACGUUCUGGGCCGCACGCGCGCUACACUGACCAGUGCAACAAGCAUCCGUCCUUGGCCGACAGGCUCGGGCAAUCUUUGAACGCUGGUCGUGAUGGGGAUAGACUUUUGCAAUUUUUGGUCUUCAACGAGGAAUUCCUAGUAAACGCAAGUCAUCAACUUGCAUUGAUUACGUCCCUGCCCUUUGUACACACCGCCCGUCGCUCCUACCGAUUGAAUGGUCCGGUGAAGCGCUCGGACCGCGGCCUCUUGACGGUUUUCCGUCGAUUGGCUGUGGGAAGUUCGUUAAACCUUAUCAUUUAGAGGAAGGAGAAGUCGUAACA
rnacentral:rRNA from 1 species